AUUGAACGCUGGCGGCAUGAUUUACACAUGCAAGUCGAACGGUAACAGGCCGCAAGGUGCUGACGAGUGGCGAACGGGUGAGUAAUGCAUCGGAACGUGCCCAGUCGUGGGGGAUAACUACUCGAAAGAGUAGCUAAUACCGCAUACGAUCUAUGGAUGAAAGCGGGGGACCGUAAGGCCGCGCGCGAUUGGAGCGGCCGAUGUCAGAUGAGGUAGUUGGUGGGGUAAAGGCUAACCAAGCCAACGAUCUGUAGCUGGUCUGAGAGGACGACCAGCAACACUGAGCCUGAGACCCGGCCCAGACCCCUCCGGGAGGCAGCAGUGGGGAAUUUUGGACAAUGGGCGCAAGCCUGAUCCAGCAAUGCCGCGUGCAGGAAGAAGGCCUUCGGGUUGUAAACUGCUUUUGUACGGAACGAAACGGCUCUGGUUAAUACCCGGGGCUAAUGCCGGUACCGUAAGAAUAAGCACCGGCUACCUCCGU
rnacentral:rRNA from 1 species